rnacentral:lncRNA from 1 species
UGCUUGAAUCUCGUUAUAUAUAUCAAUUGUGCGCUUGUACUUGAGCUUCGUCAUAUGUCAAUUUUCGCUUGUUUGUCAUUCAUCAAAACCUACACAUAUGAACACACGUUUUAGUAUAAUGCUUUGAGAACGUGUUUCCAACAAAUAGUAGUUUAACUCUAAUUUCUCUAGCUUAGAAUAGGCGUAGUUGAAUUAAGUAGUUUAAUUUUGGGUGUUUAGUUAACCUAAAUCAGAGGGCAUUUAAAAGCUCAUGACCUGGUAAUUAACCAUGUUCAUAUUUGACCACCUAAUGAGGUUUAGAUUUUCUUUAACCUGAGUCAGUAAUUUUAGGGUAAAUAACAUGGGUGGUCAGGGGUAGUUAAGGAGUUAUAGCUUAGGGAAUCCCUGCAUAACUGAAAUAAGAAGCUACUAGGUGAGGAUGCCAAGUUGAAUUUCAAUUUUUGGAUAGUGUAACUUGGGUAGAAAGUCAUGAAUUUGGGGACAAAUUUGUUGAAAAUGAAAACUAAAAAGACUAAGUGUUAAAAAUAUGAGCUGAAAUUUGCCCUAGUCACUUGCCUGUAAAGGCAUUUGCUUCUUGGCAUAAAAGGGACUUGCUCGAUAAAUUCUUCUUAAUUUAUCACGAGUGAAAGUGCAAAAUACAAAAAUAGGAGAUCUGAUUUUUGGGAAAACUCUUGAAAUUAAAACACAGAAUAAGUAGAAAAUAUUGUUCUAUUAGCAUUAAUUGCUCUUUGAAACUGUCCCUUUCAGUUCCAGAUUCAAAAGUGUAAAAUGGUUUAAGUUGGAGUCAUUUGAAUUUGUUUUGAGGUUGCUUGGAUCCUGGUCUAUUUGAGAAAUUCCUUUGUUUGCUUCUGGGUUUUGAGCUUUGUUUUCAUUAAUGCAUCUGUUAAGUUGGAUUUAUUGAUGUUAUUGCUUCCUGCCUACAAACUCAUUGGUAUUUAUUUGCUAUAACCAAGUACGAGUUCGAACCUAUCAUGAUGUAAGCUCCAACUUGAAGAUGAAAUGAAAGCCACAUUAUGCCAUAUGCUAUUUGUAGUCUGAUAAAUUUUUGCCUAAGCAGCAGUUUUUCAUGAUGUAAUUAGGGACAAUUGAACUCAUAAUGCUUAUUUUUAUUCGGUAACUGUUUUGGUAAUUAUCAGGUUAUGUGAUAUAGGUGAAAAAACUUGAUAUCCUUUAGUAGUUAACUAUGCUUUAUGAUUUGAAUUUGUGUUUAGCUCUUUAUAAAACAUUGGUCUAUUGGUUUUGUAAUAGUAAAUGAACACUUGCGUGGACAGUAAUUGUUAUAUGCAUGAAGGAUACUUAAGUAGAUCUAUGGUUCUGAAGUUUGAACUCAUGGUGAUACUGUCAUGCUUAAGCUUGAAUAACCAGGGACAAUGUUAGCUUAAUCGUUUAAGGGAUAGCUGCUUAAAAAUUGGUUUCGUUACAAUAAUUUUUAUUGCAUAAUAUAUGUUUAAGUCCUAGUUUAACAUACGGGAAUAUUGUGGCCUGCCACAUGAGGUUUACUGGGCCUGUUUUGAAUCCGACUUUGUUUCAACCCAUUCUUAAGAUACUCAUAUUGGGCAAGCCCCUAUUAACAUGAGUCUGACUUUAAUUGCUGCUAAUAUAUGGUGCAUGGACCUUUGGAUAGUAUGCUUGUAUACGUCCCAUGCAAAUAAAUUGGGCUCAUCGUUGAGCCCAUGAUGCUGAAGGAUCAGGAAAUAUAUUGCCUUCUAAUUAAUAAACUGUGUCCUAGUCGCCUAGAAUCGAGCCCAAGUCGCCCAAGCUAGAUACCUCCUCUUGAUGAGCUUGAUUUAUAUUAACUAGUCUUUAUCCAUUUUAAGGUCGGGUAAACAAAGCUAUAAGAAUCGAGUCAGAAUAAAUAGUGAAGGUUCUUAGACUUUCCGAAUUGUAGUUGAAUAUCUUUAAAUAUGAGAUUGAGGUACGCCACGCUAUAUAGAAGCACAAAUUGUGUGACCCUCUUUAAUUACUUUUAUUAAAAUAUUUAGAAUUUGGAACGUGCCAUUUAGUCAAUUUUCAUGGCCUCCCACAAAGUUAACAACGUGCUAGUUGCUUUAGGCGCACAUUGAAAUAAAUCUACCUUCUUAAAUUCGGGUGCGCAUUUUAUGCGACUCAAAUCCAAAUUUCAAAACAUUGAAUAAAAUAUGUCGUAGAUCCGGGUGCAGUUCAUGUGACGUGAUCCAAAAAACAUGUUUUAAACGGAGUUUAAUUUCUUAAAAAUUAUUAAUUUAAUGCGGUAAAUAAUUCUUAAAAUUGCACUAUAGGAUGGCAUGUAUUAAAAUAAGAUUUUGGCUGCGACCGUGCUAGAACAACGGAAUCCGGGGGAGCCAAACACCUUCCCUGGGGUCAACAGAAUUCCUUACCCAAGAAUUUUUUAUUCGCAGACUCCAAUUAGGAAGUAAAAAUUUCUUCUCGAUUUGGGGUUUUAAAAUAAACCGGUAACUUGGGACACCAGAAAAUAAACUAUCCCAAGUGGCGACUCUGAAAUUUUGAAUAAUGUCACUUAAUUUGAAAAAAACCUCUCUUACGCAUUAUCCUUCGGGGUAGGUUUGUAAAAAAGAGGUGUUAUAGUAGUCAUUAAACUAACUGGCACUAUUGAGUGAAACUGAAAGAGAGCAUAGAGAAAAUUAGUAAGGAUUUACCAGAGAGGAGAAAAGGUUGACCAUUGGAAGCGAGAAUCAAUGAACAAAGCUCGAACACCCAGAGGUCACUGUGUUUUACCUCUGGAUAUAGAAUAUUUAUCAUGAAAUCUCUGCAGAAGCUUCAUGCAAACUCUGAUUUUACAUAACACAAGAGCGAUUCGAAGAUUUGAUGUUACAUGUUUAAACCUUAGGGUUCAGACUUGCGAGAUUUGGAAUGGAGUGAUAAAAAUGGGAAGAAAUCUGUGAUAUUCACGAAUUCAAAAGGCAAAGGAGAUGAAAUCUCAUAUCGAUUUGUGACCUUUCACAAAUUUUUGCAAGGUUUGUGACUGAUUAAGUUUGUCAUUUAGAGAGAAAAUAGUGGGGAAAUGGAAAGAGAGGUCUCCAGGCCUCGGAGUGAAAUGAUUAGGGUCUGGGG